rnacentral:rRNA from 1 species
UGGCUCAGGAUGAACGCUGGCGGCGUGCUUAACACAUGCAAGUCGAACGGAGUUAGAUGAAACCUAGUGAUUCUAAACUUAGUGGCGGACGGGUGAGUAACGCGUGGGUAACCUGCCAUAUACAGGGGGAUAACACUUAGAAAUAGGUGCUAAUACCGCAUAAGCGCACAGGACUGCAUGGUCUGGUGUGAAAAAACUCCGGUGGUAUAUGAUGGACCCGCGUCUGAUUAGCUAGUUGGUGAGGUAACGGCCCACCAAGGCGACGAUCAGUAGCCGGCCUGAGAGGGUGAACGGCCACAUUGGGACUGAGACACGGCCCAAACUCCUACGGGAGGCAGCAGUGGGGAAUAUUGCACAAUGGGGGAAACCCUGAUUGCAGCGACGCCGCGUGAGUGAAGAAGUAUUUCGGUAUGUAAAGCUCUAUCAGCAGGAAAGAAAAUGACGGUACCUGACUAAGAAGCCCCGGCUAACUACGUGCCAGCCGCCGC